rnacentral:rRNA from 1 species
UACAGAGGGUGCAAGCGUUUGUUCGGAAUUAUUGGGCGUAAAGCGCGUGUAGGCGGCUUUGCAAGUCGGGUGUGAAAGCCCUCAGCUCAACUGAGGAAGUGCGCCCGAAACUGCAGAGCUUGAGUGCCGGAGAGGGUGGCGGAAUUCCCCAAGUAGAGGUGAAAUUCGUAGAUAUGGGGAGGAACACCGGUGGCGAAGGCGGACCACCUGGACGGGUAAC